GAUGAACGCUGGCGGCGUGCCUAAUACAUGCAAGUCGAGCGAACGGACGAGAAGCUUGCUUCUCUGAUGUUAGCGGCGGACGGGUGAGUAACACGUGGAUAACCUACCUAUAAGACUGGGAUAACUUCGGGAAACCGGAGCUAAUACCGGAUAAUAUUUUGAACCGCAUGGUUCAAAAGUGAAAGACGGUCUUGCUGUCACUUAUAGAUGGAUCCGCGCUGCAUUAGCUAGUUGGUAAGGUAACGGCUUACCAAGGCAACGAUGCAUAGCCGACCUGAGAGGGUGAUCGGCCACACUGGUACUGAGACACGGUCCAGACUCCUACGGGAGGCAGCAGUAGGGAAUCUUCCGCAAAGGGCGAAAGCCUGACGGAGCAACGCCGCGUGAGUGAUGAAGGUCUUCGGAUCGUAAAACUCUGUUAUUAGGGAAGAACAUAUGUGUAAGUAACUGUGCACAUCUUGACGGUACCUAAUCAGAAAGCCACGGCUAACUACGUG
rnacentral:rRNA from 1 species